GAUUUUGGGCCUUUUUUUUUUUUUCGUUAAGUGCAGCAGGGGCCAUUUAAGCUGUGCAUCAUAGAAGAGGUUUUAGCUUGACACUGAAAGAAAGCAAUCGAACUAAAUUCGCCAAACAUUAUGCAAAUACUAGAAUCACCAAAUUCCCAGAAUACAGUUAUUGACUCAAAGUUCAUGUUACAUUUGGUGGGCAAGGGACAUAAGAAAGGGGGAAAAACCAAAAUGUCACAUGUAAGCCAUGACUUUCCUGGUAUUUUUUUCACCCAAAAGCAAAUUUUAAGCAAUGAAUCAGCAAAACUACCCUGGUAAACAGAUCCUAGCAAUCUAUACUAAUCACGCUCAUUGAUUUCUUAGAGACACCUAAUAACAAUAAAAUUUAUAAGCAAAUGCGUAUCCGGAAACCUAUUAACAAGAAAAUUAUUAACACAGAACUCGAGCUAACCACUUCCAACUAUAAAAGAAUAAGUUCCAGAUCAAACCAUAAACUGUAAUUCAAUAGAAGAACCAACAAAACCGAAAACAGAAAACCACAGUUACCAUCUCAAGGUGCCAAAAUAAACGAAACAUAAAUAUAAAAGCAAGUGUUCAAUGUAUAUAUAGC
rnacentral:misc_RNA from 1 species